UUUCUCUUCUGAAACUGAGGCUAAGACGCUGUUACUAACAGUGUUUUUUUUUUUAAAUGCAAAUAGGCAAGCUUUUUAUUCCUAAAAGGAAUCACGCCUUGGAGGUCUGACUCAUACCUGUUGGUCUUUCAGCUGGCUUGUCUUUAUUCUUGGCCAGUGGUGCGUAAAACAUGGUCAGUGGAAGGGAUGAGACCAAGGAGACAAGCGGGGACUACACCACCGCUCCUCGGAUCCCAAGUCGAAUUGUGACUGUGGUCACCGAGUGGAGAAGGUGUGAAAAGUCAAAGAUUUGCUGCCUGUAAAAUGAAAACAAAGUUAAAACUAUCAGAAUUACUGCAAUUUUUAACAAAGAAAGAAGCUGCUGUAAGAUACUAGCAAAGCAUGUGCAGUCCUCCUCACUCUUCAGUCUUCAAUACAGAAGGACAUCCCUCCUCUACACAUGUUCUACAGCAACCGCAGCUCUGAGUGUACAAAGGAAUUACUCCUACAGGGAGCUGAACAGGGACGGUCCUGGAGCCUGCAGGCUCCUGGGAAGCACGUCCACCUCCAGCAACACGCGGAAGCCCAA
rnacentral:lncRNA from 1 species